CCUACGGGUGGCAGCAGUGAGGAAUAUUGGUCAAUGGGCGCAAGCCUGAACCAGCCAAGUCGCGUGAGGGAUGAAGGAUCUAUGGUUCGUAAACCUCUUUUAUAAGGGAAUAAAGUGCGGGACGUGUCCCGCUUUGCAUGUACCUUAUGAAUAAGGCUCGGCUAACUCCGUGCCAGCAGCCGCGGUAAUACGGAGGAUCCGAGCGUUAUCCGGAUUUUUUGGGUUUAAAGGGUGCGGAGGCGGCCUUUUAAGUCAGCGGUGAAAGUCUGUGGCUCAACCAUAGAUUUGCCGUUGAAACUGGGGGGCUUGAGUAUGUGUGAGGCAGGCGGAAUGCGUGGUGUAGCGGUGAAAUGCGUAGAUAUCACGCAGAACCCCGAUUGCGAAGGCAGCCUGCCAAGCCAUGACUGACGCUGAUGCACGAAAGCGUGGGGAUCAAACAGGAUUAGAUACCCGAGUAGUC
rnacentral:rRNA from 1 species